rnacentral:rRNA from 1 species
UAAUACGAAGGGGGCUAGCGUUGCUCGGAAUUACUGGGCGUAAAGGGCGCGUAGGCGGAUGUUUAAGUUGGGGGUGAAAGCCCGGGGCUCAACCUCGGAAUAGCCUUCAAUACUGGGCAUCUUGAGUACGGGAGAGGUGAGUGGAACUCCGAGUGUAGAGGUGAAAUUCGUAGAUAUUCGGAAGAACACCAGUGGCGAAGGCGACUCACUGGCCCGUUACUGACGCUGAGGCGCGAAAGCGUGGGGAGCAAACAGG